CCUACGGGGGGCAGCAGUGGGGAAUAUUGCACAAUGGGGGAAACCCUGAUGCAGCAACGCCGCGUGAAGGAAGACGGUUUUCGGAUUGUAAACUUCUGUUCUUAGUGGAGAAGAGUGACGGUAGCUAAGGAGCAAGCCACGGCUAACUACGUGCCAGCAGCCGCGGUAAUACGUAGGUGGCAAGCGUUGUCCGGAAUUACUGGGUGUAAAGGGUGCGCAGGCGGUCCUGCAAGUCUGGAGUGAAACGCAUGAGCUCAACUCAUGCAUGGCUUUGGAAACUGGAGGACUGGAGAGCAGGAGAGGGC
rnacentral:rRNA from 1 species